rnacentral:rRNA from 1 species
AUUGAACGCUAGCGGGAUGCCUUACACAUGCAAGUCGAACGGCGUUGCGAACGGGUGAGUACUGUAUCUGAACUUGCCCAGUAUCGGGGGAUAACUACGCGAAAGCGUAGCUAAUACCGCAUACUCUUUGCGCGGCCGCUAUCGGAUUAGCUAGUUGGUGGGGUAACGGCUCACCAAGGCGACGAUCCGUCGCUGGUUUGAGAGGACGACCAGCCACACUGGGACGGAGACACGGCCCAGACUCCUACGGGAGGCAGCAGUGGGGAAUUUUGGACAAUGGGGGAAACCCUGAUCCAGCCAUCCCGCGUGUGCGAUGAAGGCCUUCGGGUUGUAAAGCACUUUUGGCAGGAAAGCGGUACCUGCAGAAUAAGCACCGGCUAACUACGUGCCAGCAGCCGCGGUAAUAC